rnacentral:rRNA from 1 species
UAAAGUUACUUCAGCAGUGAAGGAGGUGGUAUGUUAAUAGCAUAUUCAUUUGACGUUAGCUGCAGAAGAAGCACCGGCUAACUCCGUGCCAGCAGCCGCGGUAAUACGGAGGGUGCGAGCGUUAAUCGGAAUUACUGGGCGUAAAGCGCAUGCAGGUGGUUUGUUAAGUCAGAUGUGAAAGCCCGGGGCUCAACCUCGGAAUUGCAUUUGAAACUGGCAAACUAGAGUACUGUAGAGGGGGUAGGAAUUUCAGGUGUAGCGGUGAAAUGCGUAGAGAUCUGAAGGAAUACCGGUGGCGAAGGCGGCCCCCUCGGACAGAUACUGACACUCAGAUGCGAAAGCGUGGGGAGCAAACAGGAUUAGAUACCCUGGUAG